rnacentral:ncRNA from 2 species
GGCUAUUGGAUUGGUCCAUGAAGCGAAAAAUAGUUUACUGUGUCACUCGUACCGAUAACCGCAUCAGGUCUUCUAGGUAAGUAGCCUAUGGCCAUUGAGGCAUGAUAGUUCAGGGAAUUCGGCCAAUUAGAGCUGUAACUUCGGGAUAAAGCUUGGCUCUGAUGAAAAUCAGAACCGAUUGUUACGCGGAGAGCCCAACUGUUUAAUAAAAACGUAGUGUCGCGCUGUGGUAGUAUAGCCAGUGAACGCGACAUGAAUCCUGCUCAGUGCUGUGUCUGUUAAUAUGGUUCAAGCCAACGAAGCACCGGUAAAUAGCUGGGGUAACUAUGACUCUUAUCAAAGUAGCGAAAUACCUCGUCACUUAAUUAGUGACCUGCAUGAACGGAGCUAUGAGGUUCUCACUGUCCCAAACUGUCUCUCAGCGAACCAACUGUAGUGGGAACGGUCACUAGAUAUCCAGCGGGGAAAGAAGACCCUGUAGAGCUUCACUUUGGUCUAGUCUUGUAUAGUUCCUGCGGGGGUGUAGACUAGGUGGGAGAGCAAUCGAUUCUGAAAAACCACUACCCUGUUUGGAAUUAUGCUUACCUAUCACAAGGAAUAGGACUAGAUAGAAAGUUUGGCUGGGGCGGCACACCUUCGAAAGAGCAGCGAAGGUGUCCUAAGUUGAGCUCAGUGAGGACAGAAAUCUCACGUUGAGGAUAAGGCCAAAAGCUCAAUUUACUGUGCCUUUUUGUACUAGGAUCAGUUACGAAAGUAAGGCCUAACGAUCCCUAAAUAGCCUCAGGUGCGUGAGGAUUGGGGUGACAGACAAGUUACCUCCGGGGACAACUGGCUUGUGGCUGCUAAGAGAUCAAAUCAACGCAGCUUUUUGAUUCUUCGAUGUCGGCUCUUCCUAUCCUAGUGAUGUACAAGUUGCUAAGGGUCGGAUUGUUCACCCGUAUUAGGGAUCGUGAGCUGGGUUUAGACCGUCGUGAGCCAGGUU